rnacentral:rRNA from 1 species
GGCCUUGACAUACUAAGAACUUUCCAGAGAUGGAUUGGUGCCUUCGGGAACUUAGAUACAGGUGCUGCAUGGCUGUCGUCAGCUCGUGUCGUGAGAUGUUGGGUUAAGUCCGCAACGAGCGCAACCUUUUCCUUAUUUGCCAGCGGGUAAUGCCGGGAACUUUAAGGAUACUGCCAGUGACAAACUGGAGGAAGGCGGGGACGACGUCAAGUCAUCAUGGCCCUUACGGCCAGGGCUACACACGUGCUACAAUGGUCGGUACAAAGGGUUGCUACCUCGCGAGAGGAUGCUAAUCUCAAAAAGCCGAUCGUAGUCCGGAUCGCAGUCUGCAACUCGACUGCGUGAAGUCGGAAUCGCUAGUAAUCGCGGAUCAGAAUGCCGCGGUGAAUACGUUCCCGGGCCUUGUACACACCGCCCGUCACACCAUGGGAGUUUGUUGCACCAGAAGUAGGUAGUCUAACCGCAAGGAGGACGCUUACCACGGUGUGGCCGAUGACUGGGGUGAAGUCGUAACAAGGUAAGCGUAGAUGA